UACGGAAGGGGCAAGCGUUGUCCGGAUUUACUGGGCGUAAAGGGCGUGCAGGCGGUUUGUUAAGUGCAGAGUGAAAGCUCCCGGCUCAACUGGGAGAGGUCUUUGCAUACUGGCAAACUCGAGGGAGGCAGAGGAAAGUGGAAUUCCCGGUGUAGUGGUGAUAUGCGUAGAUAUCGGGAGGAACACCUGUGGCGAAGGCGGCUUUCUGGGCCUUACCUGACGCUGAGACGCGAAAGCGUGGGGAGCGAACCGG
rnacentral:rRNA from 1 species